rnacentral:sRNA from 1 species
UUAAAAAGCUCGUAGUUGCAUUUGUGCGCC